UGGGUUGUAGCUCAGUGGUAGAGUGCUUGCCUCUUAUGCAUGAGGCACUGGGCUCAAUCCUCAGCACCACAU
rnacentral:tRNA from 1 species